rfam:Thermoanaerobacter pseudethanolicus ATCC 33223, complete genome.
GUUUCAAUUCCUUAUAGGUAGGCUAAAAAC